rnacentral:rRNA from 1 species
AAUGAACGCUGGCGGCGUGCGUAACACAUGCAAGUCGAACGAGAAAUUCCGGGCUUGCUCGGGAGAGUAAAGUGGCGCACGGGUGAGUAACGCGUGGAUAAUCUGCCCUUCAGCGGGGAAUAACCCAUCGAAAGGUGGGCUAAUACCUCAUAACACUAUUUCUGCUUCGGCGGGAUAGUCAAAGACGGCCUCUGUUUACAAGCUGUCACUGAAGGAUGAGUCCGCGUACCAUUAGCUAGUUGGUAGGGUAAUGGCCUACCAAGGCUGCGAUGGUUAGCUGGUCUGAGAGGAUGAUCAGCCACACUGGAACUGAGACACGGUCCAGACUCCUACGGGUGGCAG